AACGAACGCUGGCGGCAUGCCUAACACAUGCAAGUCGAACGAGACCUUCGGGUCUAGUGGCGCACGGGUGCGUAACGCGUGGGAACCUGCACUUAGGUUCGGAAUCACUCCCCGAAAGGGGUGCUAAUACCGGAUAAUGUCUUCGAACCAAAGAUUUAUCGCCGUUGGAUGGGCCCGCGUUGGAUUAGCUAGUUGGUAGGGUACAAGCCUACCAAGGCGACGAUCCAUAGCUGGUCGGAGAGGAUGCUCAGCCACACUUGGAAUGAGACACGGCCCAGACUCCUACGGGAGGCAGCAGUGGGGAAUAUUGGACAAUGGGCGAAAGCCUGAUCCAGCAAUGCCGCGUGAGUGAUGAAGGCCUUAGGGUUGUAAAGCUCUUUUACCCGGGAUGAUAAUGACAGUACCGGGAGAAUAAGCUCCGGCUAACUCCGUG
rnacentral:rRNA from 1 species